rnacentral:rRNA from 1 species
AUUGAACGCUGGCGGCAGGCCUAACACAUGCAAGUCGAACGGUAACAGGAAACAGCUUGCUGUUUCGCUGACGAGUGGCGGACGGGUGAGUAAUGUCUGGGAAACUGCCUGAUGGAGGGGGAUAACUACUGGAAACGGUAGCUAAUACCGCAUAACGUCGCAAGACCAAAGAGGGGGACCUUGGGGCCGCUUGCCAUCGGAUGUGACCAGAUAGGAUUAGCCAGUAGGUGGGGUAACGGCUCACCUAGGCGACGAUCCCUAGCUGGUCUGAGAGGAUGACCAGCCACACUGGAACUGAGACACGGUCCAGACUCCUACGGGAGGCAGCAGUGGGGAAUAUUGCACAAUGGGCGCAAGCCUGAUGCAGCCAUGCCGCGUGUAUGAAGAAGGCCUUCGGGUUGUAAAGUACUUUCAGCGGGGAGGAAGGGAGUAAAGUCAAUACCUUUGCUCAUUGACGUUACCCGCAGAAGAAGCACCGGCUAACUCCGUGCCAGCCGCCGCCGUAA